rnacentral:RNase_P_RNA from 1 species
CGAUCAAGUUGGGCAAUUGCUCCCCCGCUUUAGCGGGAGGGAGGAAAGUCCGAACUCCACAGAGCAAAGUGCCGGAUAACGUCCGGGCAUCAUUUUUUUUGAUGACGGCAAGUACCACAGAAAAGAUACCACCCCGAUGUAAAUCGGGGUAAGGGUGAAAUGGCAGGGUAAAAGCCUACCGCUCUAAAAGUAAUUUUAGAGGUUCCGUUAAAGGAAGUGGCGCUUUGGCGCCAUCAGGGCAAACCCCACUUGGAGAAAGGUCAAAUAGGAAAGUUCCACGCCACGGCGUGGCGAGGCUGCUCGCUUUGAUUAGCUUUCGGGUAGACCGAUCGAGGGUUGAAGUAAUUCAACUCCCAGACAAAUAAUUGCCGUGGCGCUUUUGGCGUCAUUACAAAAUUCGGCUUAUAGACUUGAUCGUCUU